rnacentral:snRNA from 1 species
GGGUGUGAGGGCAAUCUGGGUGCGAUAUCUGACAAUGCAUUGAUCACCAGCGUUGACUCAGCUGAUCUGUCUGGCUAUACUUAUGUCACCUUCAUUUCUCACCAUUCCAUGUGUGUUCCUCCCCAUGAGGUAUGCUCCAUUGAUGAGGACAAUCUUCCCCAGUAGAGGAUGACUACCUUUAGUCCAGGGUAUUUGAGUACCUGUGCUUCUUACUAAAACCUCUAUACAAGCUCUUAGUAAGUCCAACAACUUCUUCCAGAAGGUCAGAACUAUGCACACAUAGGUCACCAUGU